rnacentral:rRNA from 1 species
UUACGGGGUGCAGCAGGCGCGAAAACUGCACAAUGUGGGAAACCACGAUGCGGGAAGCCCAAGUGCCAGCGCUAUGCGUUGGCUGUCCUCAACCGUUCACUGGUUGGGAAGAAAGUGCUGGGUAAGACGGGUGCCAGCCGCCGCGGUAAUACCCGCAGCACAAGUGGUGGUCAUUAUUAUUGGGCCUAAAGCGUCCGUAGCAUGUUUGUUAAAUGCCUGGGUAAAUCGAUGCGCUUAACGCAUCGAAUUCCGGGUAGACUGGCAAACUCGAGACCGGGAGAGGUGUAGGGUACUCGGGGGGUAGGGGUAAAAUCCUGUAAUCCUCGGGGGACUACCGGUGGCGAAGGCGUCGUGAUAGAACGGCUCCGACGGUGAGGGACGAAGCCCUGGGGCGCAAACCGGAUUAGAUACCCGGGUAGUCCAGGGUGUAAACGCUGCGGUCUUGGUGUCGGGAGUCCUACGCGGGCACCCGGUGCCGGAGAGAAGUUGUUAAGACCGCUGCCCGGGGAGUACGGCCGCAAGACUGAAACUUAAAGGAAUUGGCGGGGGAGCACAAUCACUAGUGAAUUC